rnacentral:rRNA from 1 species
UACGUAGGGUGCAAGCGUUAAUCGGAAUUACUGGGCGUAAAGCGCGCGUAGGCGGCUUUGCAAGUCGGGUGUGAAAUCCCCAGGCUUAACCUGGGAACUGCAUUCGAGACUGCAUUGCUAGAGUAUGGGGAGAGGGAAGUGGGAAUUUCCGGUGUAGCGGGUGAAAUGCGUAGAUAUCCAGAGGAACACCAGUGGCGAAGGCGGCCUACUGGGCUCCACCUGACACUGAGGCGCGAAAGCGUGGGGAGCGAACCGG